UGGUCUCACAAACACACACCAAACUAGACCAUAUCUAUGAAGCAACUGUUUUCAGGCAUUGGACAAGAAUAUGCAGCAUAAGAAUAUGACCACAGGGACAAAGGAAGCUCACGAUUCUCCUGGCUCUCUGUGGGGGACCAAUUCCUGAACAGCAGUACAGGAAGUUGGCCCCCAUGCAGAGAAUGGCAACUCCAGGGAGGUGGGUAAGGAAAGUGAAGUUAUGUUAGGGAACAGGCAGGAGGCCACCAACUACUCGAGCAGAGGAAACCGGGACUAAAACGCCGGCAUGGCGACCCCGUCAUCUCUGUGUCUGCAGAGGUGGAGCCCUUGCUCCCACCUGCCUUGCAUCACAAGAUCAAGGUGACCAGAAGAAGCUUCUCUCUGGACCUUUGAUGCAUUUGAAGUGCUGGAAUAGAAG
rnacentral:lncRNA from 1 species